rnacentral:rRNA from 1 species
GACGAACGCUGGCGGCGUGCUUAACACAUGCAAGUCGAACGGAAAGGCCCUGCUUUUGUGGGGUGCUCGAGUGGCGAACGGGUGAGUAACACGUGAGUAACCUGCCCUUGACUUUGGGAUAACUUCAGGAAACUGGGGCUAAUACCGGAUAGGAGCUCCUGCUGCAUGGUGGGGGUUGGAAAGUUUCGGCGGUUGGGGAUGGACGCGCGGCUUAUCAGCUUGUUGGUUGGGUAGUGGCUUACCAAGGCUAUGACCGGUAGCUGGCCGGAGAGGGUGACCGGCCAAACGGGCACGGGGACACGGUCCAGGGUCCUACGGGAGGCAGGGGUGGGGAAUAUGGGACAAUGGGCGCAGGCCUGGUGCAGCCAUACCGCGGGGGUGAAGAAGGCCUUCGGGUUGUAAAGCCCUUUUGUUGGGAAAGAAAAGCAGCAGGUGAAUACCCCGCUGUUCUGACGGUACCCAAAGAAUAAGCACCGGCUAACUUCGUG